rnacentral:lncRNA from 1 species
CCCAUUUUUGUCCUGGAGGAGCUCACAGUUCAAUGAGGGGGGCAGAAAUGCAUGGAGACCACCCAAAUGCAGUCUGCACAGUAGGCCACUUCCUGAGGAGGCAGCAGGAGCAGGAGAAACCACAGCAGCAACACAAGAAUGAGUGAAUGGAUGGACUGAGUCAGAGACUCUGUCACCACAGAAAAUAGCGCCUGGAGAAGAGGGUGUUUUGGGCACCUCAUCCAUCUCUGCUGUCUUACAUCUUGGUGUCUGUGAAAUGUGGCUUCUUGGUUCGAACGUGAAAGGGGUUUGCACAAUGGAAGACCCGCCCAUAGGCUUUCCUUCGCCAUGGCUGGCAUGAGCUGUGGUGAGACUGGGAUGGGAAAUGAGGCAUUAGAGUUUGACACUUGGACUUGAUUGCCUCCAAAUGAUUGUCUGCCUUUUGAAAAUUAUAGAGAAGCCUGCUUUGGAAUUUUGAGCAAACAUCAGCCACAGCUCCACAGCUAUGGAUUUUAUGUGAAAUUACAGCCAGAAGAGGAGGAAGAGGGAG